rnacentral:tRNA from 1 species
AAGGGUGUAGCUCAAGUGGUAGAGCUUAUGCUUAGCAGGCACAAGGUCUGGGUUCGAUCCCCAGUACCUCCU